AUGCAGUUCAUCUGGCCCUGGAGACUUGAAUACAUCCAAACUAGCCAAGUAUUCUUGUACUAUCUCCUUAGUUAUUCUGGGCUGUGUUUCCUCUGCUGAAUCAUUUGCUCCAAAUUCUUCAGGUCGGGCAGUGUUUUCUUUAUCGGAGAAGACUGAGGCAAAGAAGGCAUUGAGGAGUUCAGCCCUUUCUGUGUCCCCUGUUUGCAA